GAGUUUGAUCGUGGCUCAGGAUGAACGCUGGCGGCGUGCCUAAUACAUGCAAGUCGAGCGAACGGACGAGAAGCUUGCUUCUCUGAUGUUAGCGGCGGACGGGUGAGUAACACGUGGAUAACCUACCUAUAAGACUGGGAUAACUUCGGGAAACCGGAGCUAAUACCGGAUAAUAUUUUGAACCGCAUGGUUCAAAAGUGAAAGACGGUCUUGCUGUCACUUAUAGAUGGAUCCGCGCUGCAUUAGCUAGUUGGUAAGGUAACGGCUUACCAAGGCAACGAUGCAUAGCCGACCUGAGAGGGUGAUCGGCCACACUGGAACUGAGACACGGUCCAGACUCCUACGGGAGGCAGCAGUAGGGAAUCUUCCGCAAUGGGCGAAAGCCUGACGGAGCAACGCCGCGUGAGUGAUGAAGGUCUUCGGAUCGUAAAACUCUGUUAUUAGGGAAGACAUAUGUGUAAGUAACUGUGCACAUCUUGACGGUACCUAAGUCAGAAAGCCACGGCUAACUACGUCG
rnacentral:rRNA from 1 species